GAGUGGCGAACGGGUGAGUAAUAUAUCGGAACGUAUCCAAUAAUGGGGGAUAACUAAUCGAAAGGUUGGCUAAUACCGCAUACGCCCUAUGGGGGAAAGCUAGGGACCUUCGGGCCUGGCGUUAAUGGAGCGGCUGAUAUCUGAUUAGCUAGUAGGUGAGGUAAAGGCUCACCUAGGCGACGAUCAGUAGCUGGUCUGAGAGGACGACCAGCCACACUGGAACUGAGACACGGUCCAGACUCC
rnacentral:rRNA from 1 species